rnacentral:rRNA from 2 species
AGAGUUUGAUCAUGGCUCAGAGUGAACGCUGGCGGCAGGCCUAACACAUGCAAGUCGAACGGCAGCACAGGAGAGCUUGCUCUCUGGGUGGCGAGUGGCGGACGGGUGAGGAAUGCGUCGGAAUCUGCCUAUUUGUGGGGGAUAACGUAGGGAAACUUACGCUAAUACCGCAUACGACCUACGGGUGAAAGUGGGGGACCUUCGGGCCUCACGCAGAUAGAUGAGCCGACGCCGGAUUAGCUAGUUGGCGGGGUAAAGGCCCACCAAGGCGACGAUCCGUAGCUGGUCUGAGAGGAUGAUCAGCCACACUGGAACUGAGACACGGUCCAGACUCCUACGGGAGGCAGCAGUGGGGAAUAUUGGACAAUGGGCGCAAGCCUGAUCCAGCCAUGCCGCGUGUGUGAAGAAGGCCUUCGGGUUGUAAAGCACUUUUGUCCGGAAAGAAAAGUAUCCGGUUAAUAACCGGGUGUCAUGACGGUACCGGAAGAAUAAGCACCGGCUAACUUCGUGCCAGCAGCCGCGGUAAUACGAAGGGUGCAAGCGUUACUCGGAAUUACUGGGCGUAAAGCGUGCU